rnacentral:rRNA from 1 species
AGAGUUUGAUCAUGGCUCAGGACGAACGCUGGCGGCGUGCCUAAUACAUGCAAGUCGAGCGAGCUUGCCUAGAUGAUUUUAGUGCUUGCACUAAAUGAAACUAGAUACAAGCGAGCGGCGGACGGGUGAGUAACACGUGGGUAACCUGCCCAAGAGACUGGGAUAGCACCUGGAAACAGAUGCUAAUACCGGAUAACAACACUAGACGCAUGUCUAGAGUUUGAAAGAUGGUUCUGCUAUCACUCUUGGAUGGACCUGCGGUGCAUUAGCUAGUUGGUAAGGUAAUGGCUUACCAAGGCAAUGAUGCAUAGCCGAGUUGAGAGACUGAUCGGCCACAUUGGGACUGAGACACGGCCCAAACUCCUACGGGAGGCAGCAGUAGGGAAUCUUCCACAAUGGACGAAAGUCUGAUGGAGCAACGCCGCGUGAGUGAAGAAGGGUUUCGGCUCGUAAAGCUCUGUUGGUAGUGAAGAAAGAUAGAGGUAGUAACUGGCCUUUAUUUGACGGUAAUUACUUAGAAAGUCACGGCUAACUACGUGCCAGCAGCCGCGGUAAUACGUAGGUGGCAAGCGUUGUCCGGAUUUAUUGGGCGUAAAGCGAGUGCAGGCGGUUCAAUAAGUCUGAUGUGAAAGCCUUCGGCUCAACCGGAGAAUUGCAUCAGAAACUGUUGAACUUGAGUGCAGAAGAGGAGAGUGGAACUCCAUGUGUAGCGGUGGAAUGCGUAGAUAUAUGGAAGAACACCAGUGGCGAAGGCGGCUCUCCGGUCUGCAACUGACGCUGAGGCUCGAAAGCAUGGGUAGCGAACAGGAUUAGAUACCCUGGUAGUCCAUGCCGUAAACGAUGAGUGCUAAGUGUUGGGAGGUUUCCGCCUCUCAGUGCUGCAGCUCACGCAUUAAGCACUCCGCCUGGGGAGUA